rnacentral:rRNA from 1 species
CGGGGUGAGUAAUGUCUGGGAAACUGCCUGAUGGAGGGGGGUAACUACUGGAAACGGUAGCUAAUACCGCAUAACGUCGCAAGACCAAAGAGGGGGACCGUUCGGGCCUCUUGCCAUCAGAUGUGCCCAGAUGGGAUUAGCUAGUAGGUGGGGUAACGGCUCACCUAGGCGACGAUCCCUAGCUGGUCUGAGAGGAUGACCAGCCACACUGGAACUGAGACACGGUCCAG